AUACGGAGGGUGCAAGCGUUGUCCGGAUUUAUUGGGUUUAAAGGGUGUGUAGGCGGUGUAUUAAGUCAGUGGUGAAAGCCUGCGGCUCGACCGUAGAACUGCCAUUGAUACUGACACACUUGAGUAUGGACGAGGUAGGCGGAAUUUAUGGUGUAGCGGUGAAAUGCAUAGAUACCAUAAAGAACACCGAUAGCGAAGGCAGCUUACUAGGCCAUAACUGACGCUGAGGCACGAAAGCGUGGGGAGCGAACAGGAUUAGAUACCCGAGUAGUCC
rnacentral:rRNA from 1 species